GCUGGGCGCGGUGGCUCACGCCUGUAAUCCCAACACUUUGGGAGGCCGAGGUGGGUGGAUCACCUGAGGUCAGGAGUUCUAGACCAGCCUGGCCAACACGGUGAAACCCUAUCUCUA
rnacentral:SRP_RNA from 1 species